ACUUUGUUGCAAAAGCUUUUACAUAGCCGGUUCCAAGCCCGGAUAAAAGAGGAGGAUGAAUGAUGGUAAACAUGGCUUUUACGAUCUUGAAAAGAUCGAGACAUAACAUACUUGGACCCAUUUGAAAUAACGGAUGAUAUACAUUUGCUUUUAUGAUGAGUGAUGGUAAACAUAGCUUUUAAGAUCUUGAAAAGAUCGAGAUACGACAUACUUGGACCCAAUUUGGAAUAAAGGAUGGUAUACGUUUGCUUUUAUGAUAUGAGAAAAAAGGGGACAUGAUCCACUUGACCCAAGAAAUUGAAAUUGUCCGUUGGAUGGCAUGUAUGGCUUUUAUAAUCAGGAAAAGAUGGAAAUACAAUUUGAAAUAAAUGGUGUUAGCUUCUUUUGUAAGAGAGGAUGGUGAUAUCUAUACAUGACCCUGAAAUUUAUAAUGUUAUGAUAUGAUAUACUGAUUUUAUGGUAGCGUUGGGAACAGAUUAUGAGGGCUUGAAUAAGGAAAGCAUGUUAGGGUGUUACAAUGAUAACGGGUUUAAGGGCUGUUUUCUAUGCAAAUCUAUGGUUGUAAAUGGAAUACUGCAAACUGCAGUAUAGACGAGUAGGAGGAAUUCUUUGGUGUAGACACUAUUUAGAGAUUGAUGUGUGAUUAUCAAGUGGAAGACACUGAAGCUUGGAUAAGCAUAUCUUCUAACUACAUAAAACAACUCUGCUGCACAUAUUGUGCUUUCUUGUUGCUUCCUCAUCUAAGAUAUGGAAAGAUUGAUGCAUGCUGUCUAUCCAAUUCAGCUAGUUGAAGAUCCAGUACUGAAGGCAUUCUGAGAUUGGCUAGAAUCAUUGGUGGGAUAAACAAAUUACUUGAUCUUAUGGACAUGGUAAAAUUGUGGGAUUAUAUUCAUGACUCUUUUGAACAUGCAUAUUCGGACAGCAUAUUCGGGCAUCACAAUGACGUGUGGUUUAGGGAUUGUUUUUUAUGCAAGUCUAUGGUUGUGAAUGGGAUAAUGCGAAGUGCAGUACAGAGGAGCAGGAGGAAUUGAUUUUGAGUAAUACGUAUUUAAUUAUCAAUUGGAAGACUCUAAAAGAAGUUUGUGAAACUGAUACAGGAGGGAUUGGACCCGAGAAAGAAUUCUCAAAGAGACUAAGUUCAGUGAGUUGAGUGCAAUGACUUAACGCGAGGUG